rnacentral:snoRNA from 1 species
GUGAUGUAGCUAGGCGCUGCGGAAUAUGAAGACCGCUCGAGAGGGCUGA